rnacentral:rRNA from 1 species
GCAAGUCGAGCGGUAACAUUUCUAGCUUGCUAGAAGAUGACGAGCGGCGGACGGGUGAGUAAUGCUUGGGAAUAUGCCUUUAGGUGGGGGACAACAGUUGGAAACGACUGCUAGUACCGCAUAAUGUCUACGGACCAAAGUGGGGGACCUUCGGGCCUCACGCCUAUAGAUUAGCCCAAGUGGGAUUAGCUAGUUGGUGAGGUAAAGGCUCACCAAGGAGACGAUCCCUAGCUGGUUUGAGAGGAUGAUC